GACAGGGAAUUGUACUGAGCUUCAAUUGCAAGCAGACGUGCCCUCCCGACAAAGGUGGUGAGACUGGCCGUUAUUGGCCUAAUCACCAGGCGGCCGCAAGCUUCUCCAUCUACCGGUCUUCAAGUAGAGAGAUCCCGUCCGGCAGCUUCCAUUACACAACUCGAAAACAUCUCGAAGGCAAUCCGUGGCGGCAAUCUCUGAGUGCUUGGACGAUAAGAAGU